GACGGAGGGUGCUAGCGUUGUUCGGAAUCACUGGGCGUAAAGGGCGCGUAGGCGGCCCUGGCAGUCGGAUGUGAAAGCCCGGGGCUCAACCCCGGAACGGCAUCCGAUACUCCAGGGCUGGAGGCCGGAAGAGGAGGGUGGAAUACCCAGUGUAGAGGUGAAAUUCGUAGAUAUUGGGUGGAACACCGGUGGCGAAAGCGGCUCUCUGGUCCGGACCUGACGCUGAGGCGCGAAAGCGUGGGGAGCAAACAGGAUUAGAAACCCCCGUAGUCC
rnacentral:rRNA from 1 species